rnacentral:rRNA from 1 species
UGAUCCUGGCUCAGGACGAACGCUGGCGGCGUGCUUAACACAUGCAAGUCGAGCGGGAAACUUCGGUUUCCAGCGGCGGACGGGUGAGUAACACGUGGGCAACCUGCCUCACAAUGAGGGAUAGCCUUCCGAAAGGAAGAUUAAUACCUCAUAACACAAGAGAAACGCAUGUUUCUCUUGCCAAAGAAUUUCGUUGUGAGAUGGGCCCGCGGCGCAUUAGCUUGUUGGUGAGGUAACGGCUCACCAAGGCUUCGAUGCGUAGCCGACCUGAGAGGGUGAUCGGCCACAUUGGAACUGAGACACGGUCCAGACUCCUACGGGAGGCAGCAGUGGGGAAUAUUGCACAAUGGAGGAAACUCUGAUGCAGCAACGCCGCGUGAGUAUGUAAGUCUUCGGAUUGUAAAGCUCUGUCUUCUGG